rnacentral:rRNA from 1 species
AUUGAACGCUGGCGGCAGGCCUAACACAUGCAAGUCGGACGGUAGCACAGAGGAGCUUGCUCCUCGGGUGACGAGUGGCGGACGGGUGAGUAAUGUCUGGGGAUCUGCCCGAUAGAGGGGGAUAACCACUGGAAACGGUGGCUAAUACCGCAUAACGUCGCAAGACCAAAGAGGGGGACCUUCGGGCCUCUCACUAUCGGAUGAACCCAGAUGGGAUUAGCUAGUAGGCGGGGUAACGGCCCACCUAGGCGACGAUCCCUAGCUGGUCUGAGAGGAGGACCAGCCACAAUGGAACGGAGACACGGUCCAGACUCCUACGGGAGGCAGCAGUGGGGAAUAUUGCACAAUGGGCGCAAGCCUGAUGCAGCCAUGCCGCGUGUAUGAAGAAGGCCUUCGGGUUGUAAAGUACUUUCAGCGGGGAGGAAGGCGAUGUGGUUAAUAACCGCAUUGAUUGACGUUACCCGCAGAAGAAGCACCGGCUAACUCCGUGCCAGCCGCCGCGGUAA